rnacentral:rRNA from 1 species
UACGGAGGGGCUAGCGUUGUUCGGAAUUACUGGGCGUAAAGCGCACGUAGGCGGCUUUGUAAGUUAGAGGUGAAAGCCCGGGGCUCAACUCCGGAAUUGCCUUUAAGACUGCAUCGCUAGAAUUGUGGAGAGGUGAGUGGAAUUCCGAGUGUAGAGGUGAAAUUCGUAGAUAUUCGGGAAGAACACCAGUGGCGAAGGCGACUUACUGGACGACUGUUGACGCGUGAGGUGCGAAAGCGUGGGGAGCAACAGG